UACGUAGGGGGCAAGCGUUGUCCGGAUUUAUUGGGCGUAAAGCGCGUGUAGGUGGCCAAGUAGGUCAGCUGUGAAAACUUGAGGCUCAACCUCAAGCUGUCGGUUGAAACCACUUGGCUAGAGUCCGGAAGAGGAGAGUGGAAUUCCUGGUGUAGCGGUGAAAUGCGCAGAUAUCAGGAAGAACACCAAUGGCGAAGGCAGCUCUCUGGGACGGUACUGACACUGAGACGCGAAAGCGUGGGGAGCGAACAGGAUUAGAUACCCUGGUAGUCCACGCUGUAAACGAUGGGUGCUAGGUGUGGGCGGUGUCGACUCCGUCCGUGCCGAAGCUAACGCAUUAAGCACCCCGCCUGGGGAGUACGGCCGCAAGGCUAAA
rnacentral:rRNA from 1 species